GACGAACGCUGGCGGCGUGCCUAAUACAUGCAAGUCGAACGCAUUUUCUUUCACCGUAGCUUGCUACACCGAAAGAAACUGAGUGGCGAACGGGUGAGUAACACGUGGGUAACCUGCCCAUCAGCGGGGGAUAACACUUGGAAACAGGUGCUAAUACCGCAUAAUUCCAUUUACCGCAUGGUAGAUGGAUGAAAGGCGCUUUUGCGUCACUGAUGGAUGGACCCGCGGUGCAUUAGCUAGUUGGUGGGGUAACGGCCUACCAAGGCUGCGAUGCAUAGCCGACCUGAGAGGGUGAUCGGCCACACUGGGACUGAGACACGGCCCAGACUCCUACGGGAGGCAGCAGUAGGGAAUCUUCGGCAAUGGACGCAAGUCUGACCGAGCAACGCCGCGUGAGUGAAGAAGGGUUUCGGAUCGUAAAACUCUGUUGUUAGAGAAGAACAAGGAUGAGAGUGGAAAGUUCAUCCCUUGACGGUAGCUAACCAGAAAGCCACGGCUAACUACGUG
rnacentral:rRNA from 1 species